UUUAAGCGCAGCCAUAAGUUUUCGUAUCCAAUUUUGAUUGUCCGUCUUAUUUAUUUGAAAUUUUUUUAUGAUUAAUAUUUUUAUUGUUAUUAGAUGAUAAAACAUGAAUAAUAAUUUAUGUGUGACUUAUAUUUUUAGUUUUUUUUAAAAAAUAAAUAAGAUACGGUAACACGGAAACUCAUAGCUAUACUUAAA
rnacentral:pre_miRNA from 1 species